GAUGAACGCUGGCGGCGUGCCUAAUACAUGCAAGUCGAGCGAACAGACGAGGAGCUUGCUCCUCCGACGUUAGCGGCGGACGGGUGAGUAACACGUGGAUAACCUACCUAUAAGACUGGGAUAACUUCGGGAAACCGGAGCUAAUACCGGAUAAUAUAUUGAACCGCAUGGUUCAAUAGUGAAAGACGGUUUUGCUGUCACUUAUAGAUGGAUCCGCGCCGCAUUAGCUAGUUGGUAAGGUAACGGCUUACCAAGGCAACGAUGCGUAGCCGACCUGAGAGGGUGAUCGGCCACACUGGAACUGAGACACGGUCCAGACUCCUACGGGAGGCAGCAGUAGGGAAUUUUCCGCAAUGGGCGAAAGCCUGACGGAGCAACGCCGCGUGAGUGAUGAAGGUCUUCGGAUCGUAAAACUCUGUUAUUAGGGAAGAACAAAUGUGUAAGUAACUAUGCACGUCUUGACGGUACCUAAUCAGAAAGCCACGGCUAACUACGUG
rnacentral:rRNA from 1 species